UACGUAGGGGGCAAGCGUUGUCCGGAAUUACUGGGCGUAAAGCGCACGUAGGCGGCUUGGUAAGUUAGAGGUGAAAGCCUGGAGCUCAACUCCAGAAUUGCCUUUAAGACUGCCGAGCUAGCAGGUGAGAGAGGUGAGUGGAAUUCCGAGUGUAGAGGUGAAAUUCGUAGAUAUUCGGAAGAACACCAGUGGCGAAGGCGGCUCACUGGCUCAUACUGGACGCUGAGGUGCGAAAGCGUGGGGAGCAAACAGG
rnacentral:rRNA from 1 species